ensembl:lncRNA
AUUACUGUGUGAUUGCACACCACAUGUGGUUGCUGACACAGCUUCUCCCUCUCGUGGGGCAACCUUUUGGCAGAAGAGCUCCUGAGGAAUGUCCUAGGCUCACCUCUGAGGAAGAGAGGUUGCUGACCUGAGGCACUGCAAUAGAGACUGAAAACAGAUGGAGAGGCUGUGCUCACUUGGAAUAUGAGCCCAUGGGUAUUUGGAGAGAGCAAUUAUACUCUUGCUCAGUCUUCUGUUUGCAUGACUAAACAAGCCUGUUCCAGUGGGUGGCACAAGAAGCACAAAUUAAAAACAGGUCUACUGGUAGCCUGCAGGCAGCAACUGCACAGGAGAUGUGAAUAAUUGAUCUUACUGUCUGUACCCCAGAAUCAGUGGUUUCCAUCAGUCAGCAGGGCUCAUCUAAAUCCUGCAUGCCUGUGCAGAUUCAGCUUUAUUCCUACAGUGAAUUUUUCCAUUCAUUCUGCUUCUACAAAAAUCUUGUGUAAAUCCCUGCUUCUCCAGAUGGCAUGGGCUCUGUAGCUACUGUUAUUACACAUUGCAUAUUACAAUUAUUCCUUCUCUGUUCAGUCCAAAGCUCUCUUCGUUCUAAAGGUGACAAACCAGAGACUUGGUACCCGUGAAUACUGGGAUAGAGAAGAUCACAGAGUGCCAGAACUGCUUAAAAUAAAGCACUCCCAGCACUGCAAGUACUGGACUCUCUAGCUAUAGAACACAUCACAAAAAAAUGUAUCAUUUUGAAGGCUGAAAAAAAAGCAGAAAAGCACAUCCUAACUCCAUGUCUAUGUAUGUUCCUUCAUGACUUCACGACAGUUGAUAAUUAGUUGAAUGCUCAAUUUUAAUAGAAAUUGCUUGGUUUACAUAAUCAUUUAUUGGUAAGAGACCGUCUUGUAUUUGCAGAUAUGUCAGUAGAUGUUCCAUGUAGGAAAACAUUUAAGCAUGUGCUUUAAACCAAGACUAUUCUAUCUUAAAGUGGUAGUAAUAAUAAUAAUAAUAAUAAUAAUAAUAAUAAUAAUAAAAUAAUAUUUUUUC